GGCAGGGCUGAUGCCGGUGUUGGAGGGUAGUUGGACCCCCCUUCUUUUUGGACCGGGGGUCCAAGCGCUCGCGAGUAGUUGGACCCCCGGUCCGUAUACUCCCUGAGCGCUUGGACACCGUGUUUGGACUCCCUUGGACCCCUCGCCCUCAAUCUUUGGACCCCCUUUCUGCCGUUGGACGAUCGCAAAACAAGAUACCACACUGCUGUUACUUAGUGAUGUAUGAGCAUGGUGCUUUGAAUUGUAACCAUAGAUACUUCUUAAAAGGGCAAGACCAAAUUGCUGUAACUAAACACACUUUUCAUGCUGUUUCUAAUAGUAAUUCAGUGUAGUUGAACAGUAGAUUUUACAUCCUCCAGGUUAUCAAAAUCUUCAUCAACAACGGCUGAAAGCAGCUGGAAUCUAUAAUAAAAACUAACUUUGGCCAAAUAAUGAGUUUAAGAAAAAAAGACUAAUUAUUGUAACAGGUCAAAAAUUGACUAUUUGUUAUAACAGGUUUACAUAGUGUACUGCUUUCAAUGCCAUUGAUGUAGGUCAACAGUUCAUCUGGCUAUCUAGAAACAAUAACUAUAAUAGUAUAAACUGAGUGUUGGUAAUUUAUGAUUAUAUUAAAGCCAUUAUACCAUGUCAUAUUCAAUCCAUCAACAAAU